rnacentral:lncRNA from 1 species
CGCCAUGAGCAAAGUCUGCGGCCCCUCACUCGGCGCGGCUCCGGGAACACUGGGGCGGGGGUGGGUGAUUCAGUCCCCCACCCCCGGGUGUCCUGACUCCCUGGUGGCCCUGGGCUGACAGCUCCACACCUUGGGAGGCCGCACCCCCACCUGCCGCAUUUCCUCGUUCUGAGUCACCCUUGCUCAGAACGCUUGACUUUGGGACUUCCUGUCCGCACUCGCGGCCCCUAACCUGCCCCGGGAGCCCGGGAGUGCGGCUUGGGAAGGAGGGAAAGGAGUGUGUGAGCAGGGAUUGGCCCGAACCUAUCUCCACGCUCUCCCCCGGGACUGGAGGUGAAGGGGGGCGUGGAGAAAAUCUCAGGGAACAGGGGCUUCGACAGGGGGCUCCCGCCCGCCCGAGCCCCCUCCCCAAAAUGCGAGGCCUGCACAGUAUGCCUUCUCCGCAAAACCUCGGCAAGCGGGUUAGUGAAUUCAGGUCACUAAGAAGCUGAGCCCGCGGAAAGCUGCCCAAACACCCCCUUCUCUAGGGGACUCCCCACGCCCCCCGCCGGGACGCGUUCCCGAAGUCGCCGCCUGGACUGCAACCGCGUGGCCUGCGCCGCGUCCUCUUCUCCGCAGCCUCCGAGGCCCGUGCGACCAAGCUGAAACCGCUUAUUCUCCGGAGCCCCUAUGACCCCGGGUGGGGGCCAGGGCUCGCCUCGAUCGCAGCCCGUGCGCCCUCCGGACUCCAGUUCGCCGGGACUGGGCGACACCAGAAGCGGCUAGUGUGAGUGAAACAAACGGGAAAUUUGCUCUGGCCCGCCUGCCCAGCCACCCACGGCUGCCUGUUGGCCAAUCACCAUUUGACCAGUCCAGGAAGAGCAACUGUGGCAGGCCUGAUUUCCUGGGAGGCCCCAGACUCCCUUUGCCUACCUCUUCCUCUCUGACCCCAUCCUCGCUUUGAUGCCCGGGACCUGCUACCCAGAGUCUUUCCCGCUCUAGGUGACUGGGUGCUAAGGAGGAAAGUUCUUCAGUGAGUCUUAUAAAGCGGCACCAAAACGCGGUAUUUAUAGUGACAUAAUCAGCCCUAAUGGAGAUGGAAUUACCCCAUAAAGGCCCCAAGGAGCCCUCAGGGCCUCAGCGCCACUGCAGCAGACAAGGCUCCUGUACAGGCAGGUGGAGCCCGAGUGAGUGUGUGUUUGUGUGUGACUGCCUCUCCUGCCAAUCCCUGCCUCCGGCCCACCAGCCUGCUUAGGGGCCCACCUUUGCUAGGACUUAGCUGGGGCUGGGUACUGGGGGCAAGGAGAUGACAAAGGUGAAUGCUGAAGCCAUGGCCUCACUUACCCCACCUUUGAUCUGUGCCUGCCUUUGGCCAAGAGCAUCAGAAAAAAAAUAAUGCGGCCUGGGCAAUACAGUGAGACCCCAUCUCUACAA